CGUUGUUCGGAAUUACUGGGCGUAAAGCGAGUGUAGGCGGUUGCCCAAGUCCGGUGUGAAAGCCUUGAGCUCAACUCAAGAAAUGCACUUGGUACUGGGUGGCUAGAGGACCGGAGAGGAUAGUGGAAUUCCCAGUGUAGUGGUGAAAUACGUAGAGAUUGGGAAGAACACCAGUGGCGAAGGCGGCUAUCUGGACGGUUACUGACGCUAAGACUCGAAAGCGUGGGGAGCAAACAGG
rnacentral:rRNA from 1 species